UCGAUUCCUAUUUGAAGAAAAUAAAACAAUUGUUUAAUCUCUUAAAGCACAAAAACAGGAAAAUUUCAAUUUCUGCUACUUAAAAUAGUGUCUUCUCUGCAGGGACUCAAAUAUAAUUCCAGGAAUUUCUUAUUUGUCACUGCUCUUUUCUUAUUUUGAAACUAAGUAGCAUACCUUUUCCUAGAGGAGUCUGCUUUCAUCUCAAUUUUAUUUUUUUAUAGAUAGGGUUUCCCUGUGUCACCCAGGAUGGAGUGCAGAGAUGUAAUCACAACUCACUGCAGCCUCGAACUCCUGGACUAAUGUGAUCCUUCUGCCUCAGCCUUCUGAGUAAUUGGGACUUCAGGCAUACACCACUAUACCCAGCUAAUUUUUAAAUUUUUUUGUAGAGAUAGGGUCUCACUAUGUUGCCCAGGCUGGUCUUGAACUCCUGGCCUCAAGUGAUCCUUCCACCUUGGCAUCAAAAAGUGCUGAGAUUAUAGGCAUAAGCCACCAUGCCCCACCUCAUCUCUAUCUUUUAAACACUUUAUUUCAAUAGGGUGAAUAAAAUUGAAUGAUAAACUAGAAAAUUUAAAAUAUAAAUGUGAAAACUAAAAAUUUGUCUUUUCUUACUAUAAGAGAGACGAUAUGAGGGAAACUGACUAGAAUGAAAUGAUAAUCAACAACUUCUGGGGAUUGUGAGUAGUAGGAGGUAUAAUACCUUCUAUUGUAUUAGUAACACUUAUUUUUAAGCUGGGCGAUGAUACACAGGUAUUCAUUGUAUUGUUUCUUUCUUUUUUUUUUUUCCUUUUUCUUUUCUUUUUUUUAAAUUUUGAGACAGGGUCUCACUGUUUCACCCAGGCUGGAGUGCAGUGGCUCUAUCAUGGCUCACUGCAACCUCAACCUCCCAAGCUCAAGUGAUCCUCCCACCUCAGCCUCCUGAGUAGCUGGGACUACAGAUGUGUGUCACCACACCUGGGUGAGGAAACUGAGGCAAAGAGAGCUUCUCCAAGGACAUAGAGGAAUCUCCCUCUCCCUCUCUUUCCACGGUCUCCCUCUGAUGCCGAGCCGAAGCUAGACGGUACUGCUGCCAUCUCAGCUCACUGCAACCUCCCUGCCUGAUUCUCCUGCCUCAGCCUGCCGAGUGCCUGCGAUUGCAGGCGCGCGCCGCCACGCCUGACUGGUUUUCGUAUUUUUUUGGUGGAGACGGGGUUUUGCUGUGUCGGCCGGGCUGGUUUCCAGCCCCUAACCGCGAGUGAUCUGCCAGCCUCAGCCUCCCGAGGUGCCGGGAUUGCAGACAGAGUCUCGUUAACUCAGUGCUCAAUGGCGCCCAGGCUGGAGUGCAGUGGCGUGAUCUCGGCUCGCUACAACCACCUCCCAGCCGCCUGCCUUGGCCUCCCAAAGAGCCGAGAUUGCAGCCUCUGGCCGGCCGCCCCCCCGUCUGGGAAGCGAGGCGCGUCUCUGCCCGGCCGCCCAUCGUCUGAGAUGUGGGGAGCACCUCUGCCCUGCCGCCCCGUCCGGGAUGUGAGGAGCGUCUCUGCCCGGCCGCCCCGUCUGAGAAGUGAGGAGACCCUCUGCCUGGCAACCGCCCCGUCUGAGAAGUGAGGAGCCCCUCCGCCCAGCAGCCACCCCGUCUGAGAAGUGAGGAGCCCCUCCGCCCAGCAGCCACCCCGUCUGCGAAGUGAGGAGCGUCUCCGCCCGGCAGCCACCUCGCCCGGGAGGGAGGUGGGGGGGUCAGCCCCCCGCCCGGCCAGCAGCCCCCGUCCGGGAGGUGAGGGGCGCCUCUGCCCGGCCGCCCCUACUGGGAAGUGAGAAGCCUCUCCGCCUGGCCAGCCGCCCCGUCCGGGAGGGAGGUAGGGGGGUCAGCCCCCCGCCCGGCCAGCCGCCCCGUCCAGGAGGGAGGUGGGGGUGUCAGCCCCCCGCCCGGCCAGCCGCCCCGUCCGGGAGGGAGGUGGGGGGGGUCAGCCCCCCGCCCGGCCAGCCGCCCCGUCCGGGAGGGAGGUGGGGGGGGGGGUCAGCCCCCCGCCCGGCCAGCCGCCCCGUCCGGGAGGUGAGGGGCGCCUCUGCCCGGCCGCCCCUACUGGGAAGUGAGGAGCCCCUCUGCCCGGCCACCACCCCGUCUGGGAGGUGUACCCAACAGCUCAUUGAGAACGGGCCAUGAAGACAAUGGCGGUUUUGUGGAAUAGAAAGGGGAGAAAGGUGGGGAAAAGAUUGGGAAAUCGGAUUGUUGCCGUGUCUGUGUAGAAAGAGGUAGACAUGGGAGACUUCAUUUUGUUCUGUACUAAGAAAAAUUCUUCUGCCUUGGGAUCCUGUUGAUCUGUGACCUUACCCCCAACCCUGUGCUCUCUGAAACAUGUGCUGUAUCCACUCAGGGUUGAAUGGAUUAAGGGCGGUGCAAGAUGUGCUUUGUUAACCAGAUGCUUGAAGGCAGCAUGCUCGCUAAGAGUCAUCACCACUCCCUAAUCUCAAGUACCCAGGGACACAAACACUGCAGAGGGCCGCAAGGUCCUCUGCCUAGGAAAACCAGAGAACUUUGUUCACUUGUUUAUCUGCUGACCUUCCCUCCACUAUUGUCCUGUGACCCUGCCAAAUCCCCCUCUGCAAGAAACACCCAAGAAUGAUCAAUAAAAAAUAAAAAAUAAAUGUAAAAAAAAAAAAAAAAAAAAAGAAAA